rnacentral:rRNA from 1 species
CCCUUAGAUGGUCUGGGCGGCACGCGCGCUACAAUGAUGCAUUCAAAAAGUCUUCUGACCUUAGAAGGUUGGGUAUUCUCCAAAGUGCAUCGUGAUGGGAAUAGUUUAUUGCAAUUUUUAAUCUUGAACGAGGAAUUCCUAGUAAGUACAGGUCAUCAACUUGUGUUGAUUACGUCCCUGCCCUUUGUACACACCGCCCGCCGCUCCUACUGAUUGAGUGUCUCGGUGAAUUCUUUGAUCUUCUGUCGAUUCAGUUCACUGAUCCGACGGUGGAAAGUUGAAUGAACUUCGUCACUUAGAGGAAGGAGAAGUCGUAACA